rnacentral:rRNA from 1 species
UACGGAGGAUGCAAGCGUUAUCCAGAAUUACUGGGCGUAAAGCGUGCGCAGGCGGUUUUGCAAGUCUGUCGUGAAAGCCCCGGGCUCAACCUGGGAAUUGCGAUGGAGACUGCAAGGCUUGAAUCUGGCAGAGGGGGGUAGAAUUCCACGUGUAGCAGUGAAAUGCGUAGAGAUGUGGAGGAACACCGGUGGCGAAGGCGGCAUCCUGGACCGGGAUUGACACUGAGGCGCGAAAGCCAGGGGAGCAAACGGG